rnacentral:rRNA from 1 species
UGCGUAACGCGUGAGCAACCUACCUCUAUCAGGGGGAUAGCCUCUCGAAAGAGAGAUUAACACCGCAUAAUAUAAUGUACCGGCAUCGGGAUAUUAUUAAAUAUUUAUAGGAUAGAGAUGGGCUCGCGUGACAUUAGCUAGUUGGUAGGGUAACGGCUUACCAAGGCGACGAUGUCUAGGGGCUCUGAGAGGAGAAUCCCCCACACUGGUACUGAGACACGGACCAGACUCCUACGGGAGGCAGCAGUAAGGAAUAUUGGUCAAUGGGCGGAAGCCUGAACCAGCCAUGCCGCGUGCAGGAUGACUGCCCUAUGGGUUGUAAACUGCUUUUGUCCAGGAAUAAACCUAGAUACGUGUAUCUAGCUGAAUGUACUGGAAGAAUAAGGAUCGGCUAACUCCGUGCCAGCAGCCGC